rnacentral:rRNA from 1 species
AACGAACGCUGGCGGCAUGCCUAACACAUGCAAGUCGAACGAGACCUUCGGGUCUAGUGGCGCACGGGUGCGUAACGCGUGGGAACCUGCCCUUAGGUUCGGAAUAACUCCCCGAAAGGGGUGCUAAUACCGGAUAAUGUCUUCGGACCAAAGAUUUAUCGCCUUUGGAUGGGCCCGCGUUGGAUUAGCUAGUUGGUAGGGUAAAAGCCUACAAAGGCGACGAUCCGUAGCUGGUCUGAGAGGGUGAUCAGCAACACUGGGACUGAGACACGGCCCAGACUCGUGCGGGAGGCAGCAGUAGGGAAUCUUCCGCAAUGGGCGAAGGCGUGAGGGGAGGACGCCGCGUGAGUGAUGAAGGUCUUCGGAUCGUAAAACUCGGUGAUUAGGGAAGGAGAAAUGUGUAAGGAACUAUGCACGUCUUGACGGUACCUAAUCAGAAAGCCACGGCUAACUACGUG